rnacentral:rRNA from 1 species
CUACGGGGGGCUGCAGUGGGGGAUAUUGCACAAUGGAGGAAACUCUGAUGCAGCAACGCCGCGUGAGGGAAGAAGGUUUUCGGAUUGUAAACCUCUGUCCUUGGUGAAGAAACAAAUGAUGGUAGCCAAGGAGGAAGCCACGGCUAACUACGCGCCAGCAGCCGCGGUAAUACGUAGGUGGCAAGCGUUGUCCGGAUUUACUGGGUGUAAAGGGUGCGCAGGCGGGACUGCAAGUUGGAUGUGAAAUACCGAGGCUUAACUUCGGGGCUGCAUCCAAAACUGUGGUUCUUGAGAGAUGUAGAGGUAAGCGGAAUUCCGAGUGUAGCGGUGAAAUGCGUAGAUAUUCGGAGGAACACCAGUGGCGAAGGCGGCUUACUGGGCAUUUUCUGACGCUGAGGCACGAAAGUGUGGGGAGCAAACAGGAUUAGAUACCCUCGUAGUC